UUAAUCCUCAUCAGAGAAUAUUGUUUCCAUUGAUUUUUAGAGAGAGGGAAAGACAGAAACAUCAAUGUGAGAGAAACACCCAGACCAGGGCCCCUGGUCCGGCCCAGGGAGGAGCCUGCAACCUAAGUACGUGCCCUUGACUGGAAUCGAACCCAGGACCCCUCGGUCCGCAGGCCGGCGCUCUAUCCACUGAGCCAAACGGGCUGGGGCAGCAGUUUCUAGUCUGAGGUUGGUUCCCAGGACCGGGUGGCUGUUCGGAAACCUCCCCCUGCAUAGUCUGCUCCACCUUGACACCAUUUGUCAGCCUGGAGGAACUGGCAGUUUUUUAUCUCCUUUGCCAGCUUCCUACCCUCAGGGUUAUGUCCUCUAGUCCUUGACUCCCUGGAAUAACCCCAUUCACACCACAGGGCUUUGCUUGUCGUUAGGUUAAGUUUAUUGAGCACUUCAAAUGUGCUAGGCUUUGGGCCAAACACUGUCUGGGUUGUAAGAAUUCUAGUGGCCCAUGAUUAUAUUAAAAAUAACAGGUGGCAUUCUGAAAUGCUUACUACACAGGAGGCACUGUUCUAAGAAUUUUACGUGAAUUAAUGUAUUUGAUCCUCAAUACCUGCUUACGAGGGCCCUCAGAGAAGUUGCCCGGCCUCAUUAAGGAGCACUAACACUAUUAUCAAUCGUAUCUCACAGAGACCGUCCCGAGGCACCAAAAGGUGGUUAGGAACGUGUGCAGGGCUGCCCCGUGUGGAAAUAAAUGAAAACAAGCAGAGGAUGUUUAUUCAGAGUGAGAGCGUCAAUCACCGUCACUUGCAUCUUGGCAGACUCCAAGGCAGGCAGAAGGGUUUUAUAGUGGCCAAAAGCAAUGAAUGAAGAGUUCCCGUUGCUCCACAGCCAUACCAGCGCUCGGUGGUGUCAGUGUUCUAUAUUUUGGCCGUUCUAACAGAGAGAGACAUCGACCUGUCAUCCCACACAUCCAUGUAUUCAUUGGUUGACUCAUGUUAUGUGCCCUGAUCCAGGAUCAAACCCACAACCAUAGCUCAUUGGGAGAUUGCUCCAACCAGCUGAGCCCCCAGGCCAGCGCACUCCCUUUGGUCAUUUUUAAAAUAAAU